AGUGGCGGACGGGUGAGUAAGCGUGAGAAUCUACCUUCAGGACGGGGACAACAGCUGGAAACGGCUGCUAAUACCCGAUAUGCCGAAAGGUGAAAAGUUUUUUCGCCUGGAGAGGAGCUCGCGUCCGAUUAGCUAGUUGGUGAGGUAAAAGCUUACCAAGGCGACGAUCGGUAGCUGGUCUGAGAGGAUGAGCAGCCACACUGGAACUGAGACACGGUCCAGACUCCUACGGGAGGCAGCAGUGGGGAAUUUUCCGCAAUGGGCGAAAGCCUGACGGAGCAACGCCGCGUGGGGGAAGAAGGUUUUUGGAUUGUAAACCCCUUUUCUCAAGGAAGAACAAAAUGACGGUACUUGAGGAAUCAGCCUCGGCUAACUCCGUGCCAGCAGCCGCGGUAAUACGGAGGAGGCAAGCGUUAUCCGGAAUUAUUGGGCGUAAAGCGUUCGUAGGCGGCUGUUCAAGUCUGCUGUCAAAGACCGAGGCUCAACCUCGGGUAGGCAGUGGAAACUGGAUAGCUAGAGGUCGGUAGGGGCAGAGGGAAUUCCCAGUGUAGCGGUGAAAUGCGUAGAUAUUGGGAAGAACACCGGUGGCGAAAGCGCUCUGCUGGGCCGAACCUGACGCUGAGGGACGAAAGCUAGGGGAGCGAAUGGGAUUAGAUACCCC
rnacentral:rRNA from 1 species